AUUCAGGCUUGUUUUCUCAGGAGAAUUGAAGAAUUACAACUAGGACAUGUACUUUUAGGAGUUAAGGAUGGGCCCCAAGGGGCUCCAGGCUAGAAGAGAGGGGCUCUUAGCACAAAGGGUUCUUCUAACUAUCUUACCCUAAAGGGGUCUGUCAUCCUACACACAGAGCUCUUGGCAGCCUUCCCUUUGGCUUAUUCUUAUCCAGCCACAGACAACCAAAGAAAACAAGCUGUGGAGGAACGUCUAAAAUAUACCAGGGAAUAUAUGAGAUUAAACCAAGAAGAAAACAUGAUCCCGGAGGAUACAGAGAGACACUGCUACCUCUUCAGCCUAGUCAAUGUGAGCAAACACUUAACUUCUACUAACUUAUCACUAUAACGUGGGAACACAUGUGUAGUUGGCAUAGCUGAUAGAGGGAAUUUUGUUAUCCAGAGAUUAGAUGGUGAAGGAAAAGAAAUUCCAGGUAAACCAGAUCUACCUAAAAUGGGAACCAAAAACUCAAGGUAAAACUAAAUACUAUUCAGGGUAUGUAUAUUAUAUUUAUCAAAUUUUAUCUUACAAAUGCAACUAUUAAUUCUUAGAACAAACAAUCGUGACCUUAUUUAUUUAUUUAUUUUUGAGGGAGCGGUAUAAUUUUUUCCAUAUAGGUGCUUGAGUUUUAUUCUACUUUCUCAGCCCGAUCAUUAAGAAGGCCACUUCUGCAGAAACAUUUAGGAGUGUCAAUUCUCUCAAAGGUUUCUCUUAAUCCUAUGAUAUCCAGACAAUUCUGUUUUGGUGCUACUAUUCUGUUCUCUUCCACAACUGUUAACUUAAAAGCAAAACUAACAGAUCCCCUUUUGCCAAAGGCCUUCCAAAGUUUCAUUAUUUGUCACCACUUAAAAAUCCUCCGCCUUUUUGCUUGAGUUAUAGCUUUGUUUUGCAAUUUAUUUGCAUUAUAGUUGCAUCACUUGGACUUAGACACUUCAGAGGGUGGUCCUCAGCCUGAUGUCACAUAGAGAGUUUACUUCCAGUACACAGAGGUUCCUUCUCCUCAUUCUUAUCCUUUUGGAUUUGGGAACAGGUUAGGCUAGAUUAUGUUCUGAAAUUAAAUGCUAGUUGAAAGCCUAAUCACGCUCACAUACGCAAAAUAUCCAUCCACAUAUACUCUCUGCAGGUUAAGACUUUAAUAUCUCUCAUGUGACUAAAUUUGAGAGGAAAUGUAUUGCCACUACCAUCUCACCAAUUAUGAAAUCAUGAUUCCUGAGACUUCUGAAAUAACCAUUUUAAGGUUAAUAAUAAAACCUAUAAUGUGAUGCUAUAAUUUACAUAAUAAACCCUUUCUUGGUAAGGACCACUGUCAGCUCACCUGGAAGACAUGAGCCCAUUGAGGGUUAAGAAGUGGCUGGUAGGGUUAUGGCCUCGAUUAAUUAUACCCCCUUUGUCACCACAAUAAAUCCAGAGUUAUGAAUUCUGCAGAGGAUGUGACUUUAGCUCAAUGACUGCAAAGGGACAUGGUUGGUUAUCAGUGAUGGUGGAAGAUUGUGUCCAUCUGUGAUGGUUAAUUUAUGUGUCCACUUGACUGGGCCAAGGGUUGCCAUAUCUUUGGUCAAACAUUAGUCUGGGUGUGUUUGUGAGGGUGGUUCUGGAAGAAAUUAGCAUCUGAAUUGGUCAACUGAAUAGAGCAGAUUACCCUCCCUAAUGUGGGUGGGCUUCAUCCAGUCAGUAGAAGACCUAAAUAAAACAAAAGGGCAGAAUAAGAGGGAAUUCCUCCUGCCUGAUGGCCCUGAACUGGGGCAUCUCUGGACAAUGUGAGCUGAAAACUGAAACCAAAACAUCAACUCUUCCUGGGUUUCAAGCCUACCAGCCUUCAGACUGGAAACAUACACCAUCAGCUCUCUUGGUCCUCAGGUCUUCAGGCCAAGACUAGGACUAUACUAUCAGCUCUCCUGAACCUCCAGCAUGUUGAAUUAAGUUCUUAGGACUUGUCCUCCUUUGUAUACAUGAAAGGGAAUAGCCUCUGCAUCAGAGGGUCAAAUCUCAGUUCUGUCACAUAUUAGCUAUGACCCAUCUACCCUCUCUGUCCCUCAGUUUCCUGAUAAAUGGGACUAGUAAUAAAACCUAUCCCAUAGAGUUUUUGUGAGGAUUUAAUGAAUGAAAACAUGUAAAAGAGUACAUGGCAUAUAGUAAGUGCUCAAUAAAUAUUAGCUAUAGACUUUGAUCUCACAGACACUUGCAGACAGUGAAUCUCAUAUUUUUGCCCCUGGAUGUAGUAUUUCCUGGAGCCCAGUCUGCUUCAUUGAUGGGGUUUUGAGGUCUGGUUCAUGUUCUUUGCAUCAUCCCUGCUUCCCUGCCUUUUGUGACCUUUUGCUUGUUUUUCCCUCUCUUAAUUACCUUGAAUUACAACCAUCCUGUAAAUAUUUACAUCUCUGUGUUGACAUUGUCACCUUGACCAACAGAAUCCAUCUCAGAGGUCUCAGAACUCAGACUCUCAGAAAAUGUUAGGACUAUAAAGUAGCUCUGAAAGCAUCUACUGCAAACAGAUUUAAAUUUUUUUACUGUUUUAUGGAGACAAUCAAAGUUAUAUAUGUUUUGGUAGUAAAAUUCAGAAAACAGAGGAAAGAUCAUCUUUCCUGCGUUUGCAUGGUAAAUAAAGUCGCUUCAUUCUUUGGUUUCCCACAGCAAUUUUCAACGACGUUCUUGUAUAAUACUCAAUCAUUUGUGCUUUUCACCUGUCUUCCCCAAGACUGAGGCCUUCAAGGAAGAGGUCCUUCUGCUAUACAUCAGGGUAAGCCCUGUGUCUGCCACCUUCAUUUAUGAAUGGAAGUAUGGCUAAAUUACUGACCAAUUACAUAAAAGAAUGAGUGGAUGAGUAAAGGAAGGAAAGAAGAAAUUAGGCUAAUAAGAAUUUUUCACCACACUCUUAUCCUAUAGGCGCCAAAUCCCUGGAGACUGGAGUCAAAAGUCGUAACUAUAAUUCAAGCUGUCUUAUGUGUACACACAUUUUUAUGGCUUACACUGAAAAUUAAGCACUUGAUAAUGACCUAUUUCAUUUUUAUGAAUGUUUAAAUUAGGAUAAUAAAAUCUGAAAUUAAAUUCACCAACCGGCCUCACUUCAGCCAUCUCCAGUUUUCCUUGCUAUGUCCUUUCUAGGGCACUCAGCUCAGAAUUUUAGCUCACUAUAUUUUUAAAUUUUCUGGGUUAUCUCUUUCCCUGUAUUAACUUUUUUAUGAUUUAAACUGUUUCUU
ensembl:lncRNA